rnacentral:lncRNA from 1 species
AAUAAAACUAUUGUCUCCCACACAGCCGGCUCUGCAUGAAUUGCUCUUUAUUGCAAUUCCCCUGUCUUGAGAAAUCGCUUCUGUCUAGGCAGCGGGCAAGGUGAGCCCAUUGGGCAGUUACAAGGAGACACAGAGACACAAAGACAGACACACAAAAAAGAGACUGUCAUGUGAAAAGACAGACACACAGAGAGAACAUCGUUAAGAAGACAGAGGAGGAGAUUGGAGAGAAGCAACUGUAAGCCAAGGAACACCAAAGACUGCAGGAAACCCCAAAAACUAGGAACAGGGCAUGGAACAGAUUCUACCCAUAUUCUCAGGAAGAGUCCCUGUCAACACCUGGAAUUCAAGCUUCUGGAUUCCAGAUCUAAACCCAUGCUAUGGACAGCCCUAUGGAAAAAGCCACCUGGAGAAGAAUUUUAGCCUCCCAAGCAUCACCAUAGUUGUCCUCUGGAAGAAGAUCAUCCAGCUCAAGUUCAGUCUCAAAUGACUGUACCCCCAGCUGACAACUGGACUGCACCAGAAUCAAUGAGCUGAGCUGCUCACCAAGUCCCAACCUAAAGAAGAUGUGAGAAAGUCACUUGAGGGUCAUGAAAAAAUUUGCAGAAGGAAUGAAUGCCUUGAAGGGCGUCGCGACCAGCUGCUGAUACCCAGGAAUCUGGUUGCUCAAGAUGUUACCUGAGAAUAAAGAAAUGCAGACUUUUCCCCUCACUUCCCUGAAACUGCCUCUCCUUUACUCCUUAGCUACCUAAAAACUCACUGCUUCCUCUUUUUGUUAAGACGGAUUUGAGACAUCUUGCUCUCCCGACUUCUUGCUUUGACCAAAUUGAAUAAAUCUUGUUUGAUCUCCAA